rnacentral:tRNA from 8 species
GCGCCCGUAGCUCAAUGGAUAGAGUACUGCCCUCCGAAGGCAGGGGUUGUUGGUUCGAUCCCAACCGGGCGCGCCA